rnacentral:rRNA from 1 species
UACGUAGGGGCCUAGCGUUGUCCGGAUUUGUUGGGCGUAAAGAGCUCGUAGGCGGUUCGGUAAGUCAGGUGUGAAAUCUCCACGCUCAACGUGGAGGGGCCACCUGAUACUGCCGUGACUCGAGUCCGGUAGGGGAGUGUGGAAUUCCCGGUGUAGCGGUGAAAUGCGCAGAUAUCAGGAAGAACACCCGUGGCGAAGGCGGCUCUCUGGGACGGUACUGACGCUGAGACGCGAAAGCGUGGGGGGCGAACAGG